ACGGACUUACCCUUUGUUUACAUUGGGAGCGGUUAGUGGCGGACUGGUGAGUAACACGUAAGCAACCUGCCUAUCAGAGGGGAAUAACAGUGAGAAAUCAUUGCUAAUACCGCAUAUGCUAACAGUAUCGCAUGAUACAGUUAGGAAAGGAGCAAUCCACUGGUAGAUGGGCUUGCGUCUGAUUAGCUAGUUGGUGGGGUAAUGGCCUACCAAGGCGACGAUCAGUAGCCGGACUGAGAGGUUGAACGGCCACAUUGGGACUGAGAUACGGCCCAGACUCCUACGGGAGGCAGCAGUCGGGAAUAUUGCGCAAUGGAGGAAACUCUGACGCAGUGACGCCGCGUAUAGGAAGAAGGUUUUCGGAUUGUAAACUAUUGUCGUUAGGGAAGAUACAAGACAGUACCUAAGGAGGAAGCCCCGGCUAACUAUGUGCCAGCAGCCGCGGUAAUACAUAGGGGGCAAGCGUUAUCCGGAUUUAUUGGGUGUAAAGGGUGCGUAGACGGAGAAACAAGUUGGUUGUGAAAUCCCUCGGCUCAACUGAGGAACUGCAACCAAAACUAUUUCCCUUGAGUGUCGGAGAGGAAAGUGGAAUUCCUAGUGUAGCGGUGAAAUGCGUAGAUAUUAGGAGGAACACCGGUGGCGAAGGCGACUUUCUGGACGAUAACUGACGUUGAGGCACGAAAGUGUGGGGAGCAAACAGGAUUAGAUACCCUGGUAGUCCACACUGUAAACGAUGGAUACUAGGUGUAGGGUGUAUUAAGCAUUCUGUGCCGCCGCUAACGCAUUAAGUAUCCCACCU
rnacentral:rRNA from 1 species